CCUAAAUGUAAGUUAAGUGGUAAAGGAUGUGGGAUUGCACAGACAACCAGGAUGUUGGCUUAGAAGCAGCCACUCAUUCAAAGAGUGCGUAAUAGCUCACUGGUCGAGUGAUCCUGCGCCGAAGAUUUCCGGGGCUAAAACUUACUACCGAAGCUACGGCAUCAGUAAUGAUGGGUAGGGGAGCUUCCCAUACGGGUUGAAGCAUGACCGUAAGGACAUGUGGACAGUAUGGGAGUGAGAAUGUUGGCAUGAGUAGCGAGAUGUGGGUGAGAAUCCCACAGGCCGUAAACCCAAGGUUUCCAGGGGAAGGUUCGUCCGCCCUGGGUUAGUCGGGACCUAAGCUGAGGCCGAAAGGCGUAGGUGAUGGACAACAGGUUGAUAUUCCUGUACUACCGAUAACCGUUUGAGAGAAGGGAUGACACAGUAGGAUAAGCUAAGCACACUGUUGGUUAUGUGUGCCCAAGCAUUGAGGCAGUCAAAGUAGGCAAAUCCGCUUUGAUAAUGCUGGGAUGUGAUGGGGAGCGAAAUUUAGUAGCGAAGUAGCUGAUUUCACACUGUCAAGAAAAGUCUCUAUCGAGGUUAAAGGUACCCGUACCGCAAACCGACACAGGUGGGUGAGGAGAGUAUCCUAAGGCCAGCG
rnacentral:rRNA from 1 species